rfam:Cajanus cajan CcLG08_68, whole genome shotgun sequence.
GUGGAUGAUGACACGCACUGGGCUCCGAGCAGUUUUAAAUGCGCUUUUGAAGGAAAUGCAAAGCCUAGAAAGCUUUGUCUGACAC